UGUGUCAGAGAGUUUGAUUGAAACGGAAACAGUCCUGAAUUCUCAGUGCCUGAUUGGCUAUCUUUGACGAAGCUGGAGGAAGCAGGAUUUCAUGGACAUGGCCCAUCUUCCCAAUCAAUGACUGAUAGAAGAAGAUGGCGGACCGGGAGAAACUCAGUGAAGCCAUUGGCCUUUUAAACAACAUUUUAAACUCUCCAACCGUUAUCACAACAAUGUCAGAAAUGUUGGAUCAAAGGCGACAGACACCCACAGGUGCCUCUUCUAACGCGACUGUGGAGGAGGAAAUGCGGCGGAUCUUCAGGGCUAGCUCAUCAGGUGUAUCAGGAAGUGCCAGUAGCACUUUGUCUGGAUCUAGCCUGAACCAAGUGAUGCAACCUCGAUAUCGAACUCAACAGUAUUUCGGUGGAUGGGCUUCAAAGUCAAGGAAGAAGCCUACUGCCUUAAAUCACCCUACCUUUAAUAAGGACAUCAUCCUGCUACCUGAUUCUACAUGGGAUGAAGUCUGCAAACACAAAACCAAAAGAAGGCUUCAUGAAAGGGGCUAUAUUUUAAGUGCCUUUGAGAUGAGGAAAAUGUGGGACUGCAGGACAGUCAUUGCAGAGAUAAGAGAAGCAUUCAAGGACAGAAUUCCUGAGGAUGUCAGUAUUGAUCUUUUGAUGGCAUGUGGAAACAAACUGGUUUCACCAAAGUUGUGUGAGGGCCAGGAACUGAAUGGCUUUAUGGUUCACAAGGUGUUCAAAUCAAAGGCAGUGUACAUUAGGCCAUCGACAAAUCUUCCAUUUCCGUCUGACAGCACAGAUUCGGAGGACAGUUGUGUGGAGGUUGACGCUACAUCAGCAUCUCGUGACCACAGUACCAGUCAGACCAGUGACUGUAUGACCACAAGGGCCAGGGGAAACCAAACUGCAUCAAUAAAGCAGAUCUCUAGUUAUCCUUUCACAAGAAGGGCCAGAGCUAACCAGCUCUCUGCAACACAGCAAGCAUCCAGUGUCAUUGACUUAGAUAGUGUUGGCACAGUGAACCAGACACCAUCAGCUAGUGAUGACAACUAUGCUGCCUACCUUUCGAUCAUGGGUUCCAUCUCAGACCUUUCUUCUGAUGAUGAGGAAGUAAACCAGGCAAUAAUGGCCAGUCCUGAGAGUCAUGUGGCAUCCCAACACAGAGAUGCAAAAUCAGCACAGGAAGUGCUCCUCAAUCUUGCAUCCCUAAUUGACAGUAACAAAAGAUGCAGGUUCAACAUUAAUAGGUCUUCAGUACUGGAUGGUGCUCUGCGGGGCUUCAGACGACUGUCCUAUAAUCCCAAGCACCAGAUGUGCAUCCAGUUUUCAGAUGAUUUAGGAAUGAAUGAAGAGGCUGUGGACCUUGGUGGCCCUAGGAGAGAAUUUUUACAGUUGCUAAAGGAAAGCCCUGGUACUGUCACCAAUGUUUGAAGGAAGAGACGAUAAAUUGAACUUGGCUUUGGACAGUUCAGUGUUGGAAGGCUAAAUAAGCAAAACACCUCUCAGUAUAAUGCAAUCCAGUUCAACAGCACCAAAACCUGCAGACUCCAAAAUGAUCAUACAGUUGAAUCAACACUUUUCAAAGAUAGUGUGUGGCGUUGUUUUCUAUCCACAAAACACUUGUCAAAAGGAGGCUACAGAUUUAUCACACAUACUGUUUGCAUCCUUGGAUGCCAACCUUUGCUUUAGUUUAUUAUUUCUCUUUUUUCUUUUGUGUGGUGUUUUUAGGUGUCCGAAUGUACGUCUUUGGAUCCCUGAUAAACGCCACUGCAAGAUGAACCACUGCAAGAUUACCUGGCAAAUGCUGGGUGUCUCAGGCCACUGAAAUGCAUUGAGGACAGAGAUCUGCUGGUUAAAGACAUUCUCAUGUUUCAGAUUUCAUCCUAACUUGUGCUGGCAUCUUGGAUUUUCGAGGAACGUGUUGUUCCAUUUUGGAGGGACUACCUGCAGGAUGUUGAAGAGCAAGAGGGAUCCUCAAAGCUAGGUCAAAUCCUAGCCUUUGCAACGGGUGCAAGUGUCAUCCCUCCGGUUGGCUUCUCCCCUCAACCAUCAGUUGAUUUCUUGCAUGAUCAGCCUGUCAGCUCCAGACGCUGUUUGCCAAUGGCAAACACCUGCAUCAACUGCCUUAAGUUGCUGCUGCUUGACACAUACGAGGAUUUCAGGGAGAGUAUGGACUUUGCUUUAGGUAACACACAGGGUUUUGGUAGAGAAUAAUAUAUGGACUGUGAACAUUCAAGCUUAGCCAUUUGCAGAAAAAUCUUGCAUUUGAUGCUAUUACAGGUAACUAUUACAGUUUGAAAAAAAAAAAAACAAACACAUUUUCAGUAGUGAGCCCAAACUUUUUUUUUUCCAAUAACCAAUGCAUUCACAGGCUGUAUAGAAUACCUUUUUUUCUGUCACAUUCUUUUUGUCAUGAUUCAGUGUUGUCGCUUUGCUGCCGCCUACCUGUUUUCUGUUGCAGUGUUUACCAUACCCCUGAUUACUCAUGUGAUUCACCUGUGACCAAUUCCCUGGGCCUUUAUCAGCUGCUGCCCGACCACAACCCAUUGCCAGUUAUUCCUUUGCCUACCCUGCGUCCUGUACCUUCUUUCCCUGGCUUCCAACUGGUCUCCAUUGCUCCCUUCCUUGCUGCCAUUGUGAUUACUAGUAUCGUGUAUGUUCCUGUUCUGUAUGCCGUUUUGCUACAGCUAUCUUAUUUGUUACUUAGUUUUCCUCCUGCUUGCCAGUGAUUUUUUGUUAGUACUUUUUGGCCUUUGCCCUGCGCACCUUAGUUAUAUUUUUGUAUUUUUGUUGUAUUUUUGCACCUUAUUACCUUCGGUAAUAAAAGUGUAUUUUUUCACUCAGCGCUGUGUCCAUCUGCAUUCUGGGUUCCCACUCUCUUGGCGUCAGCCAAAUCGUGACACUUUUUUGAUCAACUAACUAAAACUUUGAAUAUAUGUGACGAGUGGAGUGGUUGGGAGGUUAUUUUUGUUUUUUUUUUAGGGUAUAGAAGCCCAGUGGUGCAAAAAAAGCUAAAUGUUGGUAACAUUAUUCAGUCUGUUGUGAUAUAUACUGUUUAGCUUAGCACUUUGCAUAAAAGUACUAUAUGCAGCCAUUUACCAUGUAUCUGUUAGAGUACAAUCCACAGUGUUCUACUGUAGUACUCAAGCAUCCUUGUUACUGUUCACUAAUAAAAUUCGCCAGGCCUAAAAAUAAUUGUAUGCCGUG